rnacentral:lncRNA from 1 species
UUAUAUACUCUCAUAUUUGAACACACAACUUAUAUAAGUUACAAGUUUAUACAGUCCAUUUAUAGUUUAAUUCACAAAAUUCACAACUUAGUACAACCCAUUUUAUAAUAAUUCACAAACUCAAAGAAAUCAAAAAUUCAAACUCUAUUACUACUACCACCACACACUGCCACCAACCACCUGUACCAGCAUCGCAACCAUUAUUUUCUUCUAAAUUAGAUAUGUAAACAAAGUCAUGCAUUAAUAACUUAAAUACUGCAUUCACAGUCUAAUAAAACCACUUAUUUCACUCAUUUUAAAUUUAAUGCAAAAUUAUUAUUAAAACUAAUGUAUUCUUACAUACUUGUACAACACAAAAAAUAAAUAUAUUUAGAAAAAAAAAUUAACAAAAAAAUUUAUGCAUAAAUCAUUCAUAUAUUAAAUUGUGAAUUUAAUAUAUUAAGUUGUGAAUAAAAUUUACAUUAUUUCAAAAGCUAACAAAAAAAUUGUAAAAUAAUCACAGCUUAAUGUCAAUUCAUUCACAACUUAAUACAAUCAACUCAGAAUUUAAUACACAAAUUCAUAGCUUAAUAUAGUCAGUUCAUAGUCUAAGAAGAAAAUACACAGUUUAAUGCAGUCAAUUUACAGUUUAAAACACAAAAAUCCAAGUUUAGUACACAAAAUUCAAAGUUUAUUACACAAAAAGUAUGCAUACACAAAAUUCAUAGCUUAAUACAAUUAACUUUAUAGUUUCAUACACAUAAUUCACAACUUAAUCUAGUCAAUUUAUAGUUAAACAAAAAAUUCAUAGCUUAAUACAGUCAAUUUGCAGUUUAAAAAGAAAAUUCAAAGUUUAAUGCAAUCAAUUCACAGUUUAAAACACAAAAAUGACAGUUUAGUACACUAAAUUCACAUUUUAAUACACAAAAAGUAGUAUUCACAUCCAUAUUAUAAACUUAAAACACUUAUUACAAUUAAUACACAGUUUAAUAUAGAAAAUUCACAAGCUAGUAUUAUAAAUUCAAAGUUUAAUUCAAAAAAAAUUAUACAUUCAAACCUUAAUAGCAGUUAAAACUAAGAUUAACAAAAUUAUACGACAAAUGAGAGGUUAAAACAUCAAAUUCACACUUUAACAGAAAAAAAAACAAAAAAAAAAAUUUAUCAUAUAGAUCUACAAUAGAUGCAAGUAGAAAAACAUAUUAUCAACUUAAAACUUUUAAUUCAUAGUUAAAUAGAGUAUAUUCACUGUUUAAUACAAAAAAAAAGUAUGUAUUCAAAAGCAUAUUAUCAACUUAAAAUUUUUAAUAUAAUCAAUUCACACUUUAAUACAAUUAAUUCAUAGUUAAAUAUACAAAAGUCACAGUUUAAUAUAGUCAAUUUACAGUUUAAAGAACAAAUUCACAGCUUAAUGCAUUCAAUUUACAGUUUUAAAAACAAAUAUCACAACUAAAUACACAGACUUCAUAGUUUAAUAUACAAAAAGUAUGCAUUCACAACUAAAUUCGCAGCUUAAUAACUUACCAAAUUUUAUUGAGGCAUUUCAUAAAACACCUUGUGUGCAUCUUUUUUUCAGAACUUCCUUUUGUAAGCACCAUCAAUGUAAACACCAUACACACACCAGAUCUAACCUGAAAAUAGAUAAACACAUCAGAUCUGAUGUCGAUUUGCUGGUGUUUUGACCAGAGAUAAGAGAGACAUAGACGGAAAUGAGUUAUAAAUGAGAAGGAGGCGACACAUAACAGAUCUGGUACAAAUCCGAUAAACAUUUCGCCGUUAAUAGAACAUAUCAGAGAAAAAAAUAAGUUUAAGAGUUCGGAAACAAAACGAGAUCAAGAUUAGCACCUGUAGGUUGAGAUGAGGACUGCGAUUUGCGAUUUUUGAUGCUCCGACAACGACACCAACGGUGGGGGAACAUAUUUGAUGUAGAUCCAACGAUGGAAUGAUGAAAUAGAAAGAAAAACCUUUGUAUAAUAACACCAAAUUCUCAGAUCUACAUCAGAUCUAAAUUGAUCUGGUGUAAAUAAAGAUAAAGGAGGUCUCCAGUGGUAGUUUGUAUAAAGAAGUAGAUCUGGAGGUGGUAGGACAUUUGGAGGCGAAAAAGAGCUCCAUACUCUGUCACAUCUGUUAUUCCGGCGAAGCAGAUCGAAGAGUUUUUCUCGUGCUUCAUCAAAUUUGAAACGUUGGAGAUUUGGAGAAGAAGCAUAUUCAAAUUUGAAAAUAGAGUGUAGUGUUUUCUAGGUGUUCCAGCAAAGCAAAGCGGCUGAUGGAAGGCGAUAGUCGGUGUUAAUGAGAUAGAUGGCGGUAGAAGGAGGUGACGCUCGGUGGUAAUGGCAGAUCUGAAGUCAGGGGUUCUAGAUCUGAAGGCGAAUGCACCAGAUCUGAAGGUGGAUGUUUUAGAUCUGAAGGCGGCAGCUCCAGAUCUGAAGAUCGUUGUAUUCCGACGACGACGAGGACGGUGGUGCCGGCGAUGGUGGUGGUCGUUGGCAGUAGUAGGAGGUGAGAGAGAGAGAGAGAGAGAGAGAGAGAUAUGAGGGAAAAGUUGUCAUGUCUGAUAAUUAAAGUUAUAAGGUAAAA